rnacentral:rRNA from 1 species
CCCCUAGAUGUUCUGGGCCGCACGCGCGCUACACUGAACAGUUCAACAAGUCUUAACCUUGGCCGAUAGGUCUGGGUAAUCUUUGAACGCUGUUCGUGAUUGGGAUAGACCUUUGCAAUUAUGGGUCUUCAACGAUGAAUUCCUAGUAAACGCAAGUCAUCAGCUUGCAUUGAUUACGUCCCUGCCCUUUGUACACACCGCCCGUCGCACCUACCGAUUGAAUGGUCCGGUGAAAGCUCGGGACGGCGGCUUGGUCGCUUGCGUCCGACUGCUGAAACUUGAUUAAACCAUAUCAUUUAGAGGAAGGUGAAGUCGUAACA